UACAGAGGAUGCAAGCGUUAUCCGGAAUGAUUGGGCGUAAAGCGUCUGUAGGUGGCUUUUUAAGUCCGCCGUCAAAUCCCAGGGCUCAACUCUGGACAGGCGGUGGAAACUACCAAGCUGGAGUACGGUAGGGGCAGAGGGAAUUUCCGGUGGAGCGGUGAAAUGCGUAGAGAUCGGAAGGAACACCGGUGGCGAAAGCGGCGCGCUGGACCUCUUCUGACGCUGAGGCGCGAAAGCCAGGGGAGCAAAGCGGG
rnacentral:rRNA from 1 species